CCUACGGGGGGCAGCAGUGAGGAAUAUUGGUCAAUGGUCGAGAGACUGAACCAGCCAAGUCGCGUGAAGGAAGACGGCUCUAUGAGUUGUAAACUUCUUUUGUACAGGAGUAAAGUGAGACACGUGUGUUUUAUUGCAAGUACUGUACGAAUAAGCAUCGGCUAACUCCGUGCCAGCAGCCGCGGUAAUACGGAGGAUGCAAGCGUUAUCCGGAUUUAUUGGGUUUAAAGGGUGCGUAGGCGGUAUUACAAGUCAGGGGUGAAAUCUUGGUGCUUAACAUUAAAAUUGCCUUUGAAACUGUGGUACUUGAGUGUAAAAGAGGUAGGCGGAAUGUGUUGUGUAGCGGUGAAAUGCAUAGAUAUAACACAGAACCCCGAUUGCGAAGGCAGCUUACUAUCAUACAACUGACGC
rnacentral:rRNA from 1 species